GCACGUCGACGAGGUCGCUCGCCACGAACUCGCCGUCGCCGGUGCCGGCUCGCCGCCGCCGCUCCUCGUGCUCAUCGACGAUUUUCUCGUAGAACCGGUCAUGGAGCUCGAUCAGCCGCUUCAUCCGCCGCGAGCAGCCCUGCAGGUCGAGCCAGCCCAGCCACGGGACCCACUCGCCGACGUUGCUCACCGCGCCGGUCACCGCGAACGCCUCGUCCAGCGUGCGCCGGAGCGCCUCGCCCUCGGCGCUGCCGUAGCAGCCCGACCACUUCUCCCCGACGGCCAUGCAGAGGAUGUUCCGCAGCGUGGCGCCGGAGACGUGCUCCCUGACGGCGACGGCGCUGCCGGCGCACCGGAACAGGCCACGCACCAGCGCGCGCAUCUCCUCCGCGCGGACGCGCUCGAAUGACCCCACGCGGCGUGCCGAGAAGAGCUCGGUGGCGCAGAGCUUGCGCGCCAUGCGCCAGUAGGCGCCGUACGGGGUGUGGACGAUGCCCUGGUAGCCGUAGGAGCUGAUCUCGCCGGCGGUGGUGAGCGGGCGGUCGGCGAGGGCGUGGUCGUGGGUCUUGAGGACGAGACGGGCGGUUUCCGCCGACGAGGCCACCACGACGUGGUAGGAGCCGAGGCGGAGGUGCAUGAGCGGGCCGUAGCGCGUUGCGAGCGCCGCCAGCACACGGUGCGGCGGGAGCGCGCCGGCCAGGACGCCGAGGCUGCCGAUCACCGGCCAACCCCGGGGGCCCGGCGGAAGGUUAAGCACCUUCCGCCGGCCGCGUGGCGGGAAAAUAGAGCGGAGGACGAAGACGGCCAAGAUGGCCGCCAUUGCCAUGGCCAUGGACACUGUUGCUGUGAGCUCCAUCGUUGGAAAUGUAGGCCUUCGAGAGUGUGGUACAAGGAGGUGAUGUUUCAUGGUUGCAUAUAUAAAGAUGGAAUUCUUUUUUUUGGUAAACUAUAAAUUAUGUUAUUAUUUGAGGCACAGGUUCAUCAUGGACUCAUGGUGGCCGCAUAUAAAGGGAGAAAUUCUUUUUUUCAUAGAUUAUUCUGUUACUUGAGGCACACAUUCAUCGUACGCUAAUACUAUGCCAGAAACGAUUUGUGCUGACACGUCGAAAUUAGUGUGCUGGCGGGCGAAAUUGGCACCAGCCAGCACAAAGGUGACCGGAGCCGCAUGGGCUAGUGCCCGCCAGCACAGAUCCUGUGCUGGCAGGCAAUCUAAGCGCCCAUCAGCACAGAUGGGAUGCAUCUAUGCUGGCGGGUGCGUUAGGUGGCCCGCCAGCACAAAUGACACCAAGCUAGCGAAGCGAACAGACCUUAUCUCCACUCGGUGCCUCUGCUGCAUCCCUACCUUAUCCUCAAUCUUAUAACUUUCACCAUACACUUCUCUCCUAUCCUCACAUCUCUCUCCCUUAUCUUUGUCUCCACAGUGAAGCUGCAGCCAGCUCGGAUGAUGGAGCGGUGGCCGGCGCGUGCUGCGUUGGCAAGCUGCAGAUGGCGGAGCCGCUGCUAGUGCCCCCAUGAUGGUGUCUGGUGCGGGCACGAGCCGUGUCGGCCGGAGCCACAGGCAGUUGCGACAACAUGGGCAGAGGCGCUGCGGCCGGUGGACCCAUGGGUAGCUUCGGUGCGCGACGGCGGGCUUCUGCCGCUGCUCAUGCAGCUUGUCCGAGGUACGUGCUCAAUCUUGCAAGAAUAGCGGCACCGAAAUUAAUUGUAGUAGAUGAAAAAAACAAAAUCACUGCAGCACUUUUGUUUCAUUCGUAUUCGUUGCUCAGGUUGGCAAGGAUGUGGAGGGUGAUUGCCGACAUGCACCGGCGAUGAAGUGAACUGCCGACGAGGUGACUGUGCUACUUAUGUCCUUGGCCGCCGCUGCAGCUAGGUACGGCUCCGGUUGGGGAAGGAGGCAUCAGAGGCAUGCCGCUGCCGAGCUCUACGCGGACCUACGUGCCAGGCGGCAACUCCGGUUGGGGAAGGAGGCACGCCGCCUCUGAGCUCGACGCACUCGCACGAAGCUCCAUGGCUGGCGCAUGGCGCAAAGGCGUAGGCCGAGUCACUGCGCAUACACGGCGGCACACACGGUGGAGUUCAGAGCCAAGAAGGUUUGCCUCGGGGCUCACAACAACGUGAGCUGGUCUACCUUGAGGCUCACGACGACGUGAGCUGCAGCACGAGGCGGCGGCGCGGUCACGGUGCUGACGGACGAGCACCUACUGCUAGCUUUUUUUUGUUUGCUAAAAUUAUCUUUGCUGGUGAGCUUCUUAAGCAUCCGCCAGCGCAGAUCGCAUUUGUGAUUACGGUCAAGCACCAGCUAGCGCAGAUCGCAUUUGUGAUUACGGUCAACCCACCAGCAAUGUUUUAGCUGUCAGGAUAGAUGUUUCAGCCGUAGCGUAAGAGUCGUGGUGCACAUUGGUCAGUCAUGCAUGAAACAGACUGAUGCAGCACAGCAGUUAGGGCUGGCUGCUUCUGAAGAGAAAUAUCAGUCCUGAACUGACAGUGACCGGCGCUUGGAGGCAACUGAAACUUUCCCAAUCACAAAUUCACAACAAACAUGUGAAACACAUGUUAACUGUGGUGUGAUGAUCACAUUCACAGUUCACAAGGUUGUCGGUCAAUGUUUUGCUACUCGAUCAACUGGUGGUAAUUCUGGAAGAAGAGGACAGUUUGGUCAGAAUUCAUGCAGCGUUUUCAUUGUGCACUGUUUUACUGGAAGUAAACAAGCAGACGUGUGGACUGAAUGCAAAGUUUACCCGUGACAAUGUAAUAGUCAGUACUGCUCAGUUAAUUAAUGCAGGUUCUAGGAUUCUAUCUUAGGGUUUAAUAGGCACAUGAGAACAUGUGUUUUUAUGUUUCUUUGACUAAUGAACUGGUCUCAAAGCCACACACACACUAGACAAAACACAUCAUGGUCCAGACAUUGCAGAUUUCUACAGAAACAAACAAGGCCAAAUGUAUACGUGUGGUGAGUGUUGCACAACCGUCUGGUAUAUUGAUCCUUCAGACAAGUUCAUUACAUCCAUGUGAAUCUUGCACAAGUUACAUUGCAUCUGGAGGUUAGAAAGUUCCGAGAACUGAAGCAACAGCGCCCCCAUCGACGGUGGUAUUCUCAAGCAAAAGACACCCUCGCCCUGGAAAAAAAAACUUUGUGGGGGAAGAAUGUAAAGGACCGACGAUAAAGAAGGCCAUGAGCUUCUACACCCUGAAGUGAGAUCGUAAUCUAGGAAGAAAGUUUUUUUUUUGUCCUGCAUCUAUCUGUGUGAAGGUAUUUGUGUUCCCUUUUGAUCAUUAAUGAUGCAGGUUGUAACAAAGAAUUGUGUGGCAGUAUGCAUAUAAAGCCAGAACAUUUCCCCAUUAUCUAAAAAAGAGCAAUCUAUUGUGAACUGGUAGUUUAAAAAGAACUUAUUUGAUGUUUUCUUGAAAUCUGAGUUGAAUGACCAAAAUAGAAGAUGAAUGUUCAGUUGUCACCAGUGCUUUAGCCAUAGAACAUACGUCUUCCAUUAUUUUUUGCCACGGUUUUCUACAUGCUGAACUUGUUCUGACAUUUUCAUUUUCUACAAUGCCAAUUUAUCGGGAAAUUAUUUAUCAUCAAAUAAUUAUUUUCUUUACACAACUCCAAUUAAUAAUUUUUUCAAUUGCAUAGAAACUCGAGCUUUUGGUGGCAUUUCUCUAUCUCCAAGCUUAGAUGGAGGUCAGUGUGGUAUCUUGCUGGAGUGGUGCCAUAGGCAGAGCUAGCUAGGUGACACUGUAUACUAGGGGUGGCUGACGAGUCAACUCGGCUCAUUAAGGCUCGUUUGAUAACGAGCUAGCUAAGGUUGACGAGCUAAAAAUCGAGUUUGGCUUGGUUCGUUGGCUCACGAGCCUAGCAUUGUCGAACAUUAAUGUUAUAAUGAAAGAUGAUAUUAACCAAUAUAUAAUAACUUAAGUGUGCUAAUAAUAUUUAAAAGUUUAAUUUAUGAUGAUAUUACUGGAAUAAAUAAUAUAAGUCAAUAGAUUAGGAUAAUAUAGAUGUUUGGAGACUCGAAAUAGACUUAAUUAGUACUAUAUUUGACUUACAUGUUGAACAACAAAUUUAUUUUAACCAAAUAAUAGUAAUACAACUCUGAUUCCCAAUUAUGCCAUUGGGUGGUGCCAAACUGCCAACGAAUCCAAUAGCCAAUAAAGCGCCAGAUGGAUGCGAACGGGACAGCCAGGAACCUUUGAAUGAGCAGACAUGACACAAGGAGACGAGGAAGAUCCUUAGGAGGUUAUUGAAAGUUUUUUGUUUUGCGAGGUCAUAAACAGAUCAGCAAUUGUCCAUGUAUUCCAACGCCUCGCCACUGUCGAUUGAACCAGCUAUUUUCCCCCCAUAAUAUCUGCUAUACACUAUUAGUCACUUGAAAAUUCACAAGACACAUUCAAGUGACCAUUGUGGACAUGUCUCUGACCACCAUUGUUAUCAACCAAGAUUUCAGACUUUCAGCCGUGGGGUCUUCAUCACUGUCGGCUUGAGGGAGGUUGCUAGGAUGCAAGUCAGACUGGGAGGAGGCAUGCGUAGGGAUAGGGCAGUGCUGAUGCCACUAACUGCGGGCCAAACAACGGACGGGUGAUGCAGGGGUGAAGCUAGAUCAUAAUUUUCUGAGGGUCCACGGAUACAACCGGCAUCCUCGCCUCAAUGCAUGAUCACUUACCUUAGGUCAUUUGACCCCCAACAAGUAUACAUAGCUCCACUUUCGAGCUGGUGCCAGGACAGAGAGCUCGAAAAUGGAUAGGUUGAAGUGGCAGGGGUUACUGAAUCAUGCCAAUGAUGAAAAAGUGCAAGUAAGCAGGAGAGGAACACAGAACAUUAUAUUCUUGUUCAAGAUCCAACGGCUAGAAACAUCGACUGAAAGAUAAAGGGGGAAAAACGGUUGAGAUAUAUCAUUUCUGUUUUUUGAGAUUAGCACAUCUGCACAUUACUCCAAGGUUUUUAGGAGCCAUGGUGUGAGCAUGCUUUUGCUGGAGUUGUGGAUGUGAACCACGCUACUUGCGGCGACGUUGACCCUGUUGUUGGGUACACUCUUAGAGGAGGCUAGCUUCAGGUGUGGUAGGUUAGCUUUGUAGAGGAUGCGGCAUGGAGCAGAGCAAGGCAACGUAACACCAGCAGACGCAAGCGGCGCUGAUACCUCCAGUAGACUUGGAAAGAGCGAGGGCACGAGGUGCACCGGCACAACCGACCUAGGUGGGGACUGGGGAUGUGGCGUUCCAUCUUGAGGAUGGAGAGCAGUUGUGCGCGGGGCAAGCAGUUGAGAAGAAUGGAGGAAGGAUGUGUCGUGCGUUGGAUCCAGAUCUAAUGACUCGCAUUUGACUUCUGGUUUUUUAUUAAAAAAGCAUAAAAAUGCCCAUUAAAUAGCAUCUCCGUGUAGGUAUAUCCACGAUGCAUUUUCUGAGCUCAACAAGCAAGGUCGACGUUGCAUCUUGUGAUGGCCUGAUUUCCCGUGUAAAUGCGCUAAUCGUCUAGCAAAACGUAAACCAGAUUAGUCGGAGGCGGCGUAAAGGUGCGCCGGCAGCCUGGGCUCGGCGACGGCGACGAGCGGCACCUUCCGCUUCGUGGACAGCCCAAAGUGCUCCUCCAUGCUCACGUCCUCCGGCGCCACCCCCUCCGGCAGCCGCCACGCGAAACCGUGCACCAGGUUCGCCACGCCGGCGGCCACCAGCUUCAUGGCGAGGCCGUGCGCCGGGCACAUCCGCCGCCCGGCACCGAACGGCAGCAGCUCGAAGUGCGCCCCGCGCACGUCGAGUCCGGCGCCGACGCCGCCACCCAGGAACCGCUCCGGCCGGAACGCGUCGGGCACGUCGGGCCACGACGCCGGGUCGCGCGCGAUCGCCCACACGUUCACCAGCACGCGCGCGCCGGCGGGCACGUCGUAGCCGGCGACCACCGUGUGCUCGCGGGCAUAGUGCGGGACCAGGAGCGGGCCGACGGGGUGCAGCCGCAGCGUCUCCUUCACGACGGCGUCGAUGUAGGGGAGGUCCGGCAGGUCGCGCUCCGUGACCCAGCGCCCGCGGCCGACCACGCGGUCGAGCUCAUCGGCCGCGGCGGCCAUGGCGUCAGGGCGGCGCAGCAGCUCCGACAUAGCCCACUCUAUCGUCACCGCCGAGCUCUCCGUGCCGCCGGCGAUGAUGUCCUGGAUGAAGGCCUUCACGCCGUCGCGCGUGAGCUUGGCCUCCGACGGCUCCGACCUGUCUUUCUCGGCGAGCUGCAACAGCACGUCGACGAGAUCGCUCGCCACGAACUCACCGGCUCCGGUUCGCCGCCGCCGCUCCUCGUGCUCGUCGAGGAUCUGCUCGAAGAACCGGUCGUACAUCUCGCUCAGCCGCUUCAUCCGCCGGAUGCAGCCUUGCAGGUCGAGCCAGCCCAGCCACGGAAUCCACUCGCCGACGUUGCUCACCGCGCCGGUCACCGCGAACGCCUCGUCCAGCGUGCGCCGGAACGCCUCUCCGUCGGCGCUGCCGUAGCAGCCCGACCACUUCUCCCCAACCGCC
rnacentral:lncRNA from 1 species